rnacentral:tRNA from 1 species
GCGGGAGUAGUUCAAUGGUAGAGCCCCAGCCUUCCAAGCUGAUGACGCGGGUUCGAUUCCCGUCUCCCGCU